AGGGUAAGCAGUACCCUAAGCAGAGUGUCCAGAACGUGAACAACUUUGCUGACCUGAAUAUUUUUAUACCUUAUUUUUUAUCCACUCCUUGGCUCUUAUCCAUUUUUAGGGCAACUUUUGAGAUCAUAUAAAAGUGUCAUUUUCUAGUUUUUGCCACAAGAAGUAACAACAAGAAAGAAAGGAAAGAAGAUCAUAAAAAUAGAAGGAAGGAGGACGCCAUCAAUUAUGAAGAAAAGGAGCUGCUGCCGCCAUUUCUGGAAGCUCUAGGAGUCAGAGUUUUGGGUUUUUCUACCUAAGCUUUUCUAUUCUUAGUCCCCUUACCAUAUUUUUCUUUACUUUUCCAUCAAUUUCUCUUGUAAAUACCAACAUGAGUGA
rnacentral:misc_RNA from 1 species